UGGAUCAGUGAUGAUCACCGGUGGCAUGUGAGUGACAGGUGAUGACUAUGUGUCUGGAACUCUGAGGUCCAA
ensembl:snoRNA